rnacentral:rRNA from 1 species
ACGUACGCUGGCGGCACGCCUAACACAUGCAAGUCGAACGAAGUAGCAAUACUUAGUGGCAGACGGGUGAGUAACAUGUGGGUAUCUGCCCUUUGGCCUGGAAUAACACGAGGAAACUUGUGCUAAUACCGGAUAAGUCUUUACGGAGAAAGCUUUAUGCACCAUUGGAUGAGCCCGCACUUGAUUAGUUAGUUGGUAGGGUAAUGGCCUACCAAGACUGUGAUCAAUAGCUGAUUUGAGAGGAUGAUCAGCCACAUUGGGACUGAGACACGGCCCAAACUCCUACGGGAGGCAGCAGUGGGGAAUCUUGCACAAUGGAGGAAACUCUGAUGCAGCGAUGCCGCGUGAGUGAAGAAGGCCCUUGGGUUGUAAAGCUCUUUCGUCGGGGAAGAAAAUGACUGUACCCGAAUAAGAAGGUCCGGCUAACUUCGUGCCAGCAGCCGCGGUAAUACGAAGGGACCUAGCGUAGUUCGGAAUUACUGGGCUUAAAGAGUUCGUAGGUGGUUGAAAAAGUUAGUGGUGAAAUCCCAGAGCUUAACUCUGGAACUGCCAUUAAAACUUUUCAGCUAGAGUAUGAUAGAGGAAAGCAGAAUUUCUAGUGUAGAGGUGAAAUUCGUAGAUAUUAGAAAGAACACCAAUUGCGAAGGCAGCUUUCUGGAUCAUUACUGA